UUUUUGUCUGUUUACACGUACAAUAUAUCUAAUAGGUUAUUUUGAUUUGCUUGAAAAGAGAAAAGCAACAUAGCGUGUGAAGUGCUUUAUUGGAUGGCAUCAAUAUUCAAUCAGUCUUUAUUUGUAUAUCACUUUACAUACAAAACAAUGACAAUAAUGAUUGUGCGGGCAGCGCGUUGCGUUCGUAGUUCACAAGUAGAUAGUCAUAUGCUUAUGUGGUCUUCUUGGUCGGCUUUCUGUGUCGUUAACGUUACAUUUGACUGUUUGAAAUGAACAAUGACAUAAACAAAAUGGAUUCAGAGCUGUGCAAAGGAGAUUUUAUGAUGGUAAAAAUCCAGUAAGAAACAUUGCUGGAGGAAGAGUAUUUUUCACAACGAGGACAUUUUUUGCGACGUGAAGGAGGAGUGGGGCGCCAUUGAAGGAGCAGAACUGAACACAUUUCAUAAGACCCAGCCAGUCAAGAAGACCCAAGAGAAACUGCCCAGCCCUUUCUUCCAACAGUCAAAUAACCAUUCCAUGUGGCAGCAGCGUGUGGGUGGACAAGUUCCAGGUGCCAUGGGAAAAAGUGAGGCCCUCUCUUAAAAGAGCCAUUGAUGCUGGAUGUUGGAGACAUACCAGGAAGGUGCAGUGGCUCUGGUGGCAGUGGUCAAUGAGGAGCAAGUGCCUGCAGGAAUCACAUUUUUAAAACUCACCACAUAUC